GCGUGCGAGUGACCGGUCGCUGUCUUUUGACAGAGGAAAGUCCGGACUCCAUAUGGCAAGGGAUCCGUUCGUUAAGGGCGGAAGACGCGGGGUAAUCCCGUGUGAUGGAAAGUGCCACAGAAAAUAGACGUACCAUCCAUGUGCCAAGCAUAGCGGAAGGAAAACGGUGAAAUGGCGGGGUAAGAGCCCACCGGCUUGCUGUAAAAGGCAGGCGCAAGGUAAACCCUCCCUGGAGCAAGAUCAAAUAGGGGGCCGACGGGCGGCCAGUCUGGCUGCGCACGUAUGUGCCAUAAGGCCCCGGGUUGAUCGCUAUAGAUGAAUGAUCGGAUCUAUUUAGAGAUGAAAAUCUUUGAAUAGAGAACAGAAUCUGGCUUAUUCGCCGCGCGCCGCU
rnacentral:RNase_P_RNA from 1 species